CUUGGUCUUUAGAGGAAGUAAAAGUCGUAACAAGGUUUCCGUAGGUGAACCUGCGGAGGAUCAUUACCGAGUUAGGGUCUUAUAGGCCUGAUCUCCAACCCUUUGUUACUAUACCAUGUUGCUUUGGUGGGCCCGCUUUUCGGGGCCGCCGGGGCCUAUGCCCCUGGUCAGUGCUCGCCAGUAGCCUUAUUAAAUUCUUUCAUAUUAUGUUGUCUGAGUAUAAAUAUAAAUCGUUUAAAACUUUCAACAACGAUCUCUUGGUUCUGGCAUCGAUGAAGAACGCAGCGAAAUGUGAUAAGUAUGCGAAUUGCAGAAUUCAGUGAGUCAUCGAAUCUUUGAACGCAUAUUGCCCCUUUGGUAUUCCGAAGGGCAUGCCUGUUCGAGCGUCAUUAUCAACCACAAGCCCUGGCUUGUCGUUGGACCCCUUGCUGCUGAAAUAUACGGCAGGCCGAAAGAUAAUGACGGCGUCGUGUUUGACCCUAGAUGCAACGAGCUUUUCAUAGCACGCAUUGAAGUGGUCGGCCGACCCGGUCUUUAACCAUCAUUUCUAAGGUUGACCUCGGAUCAGGUAGGAAUACCCGCUGAACUUAAGCAUUCAAUAAGCGGAGGAA
rnacentral:rRNA from 1 species